UUUUGAAUUCGCGGCUAGGUCUGAUCGACAUCAACCGCUCAUUGCAAGCAUCGCGACGUUUGGUCUCCGCCACCGCAACCGCUUUCUCAUUCGACUCCUCCUCCUCAUUCCGUCGAACACGUGGUGCGCGUCAGAGAAUCGCUUCAUCCAAGUCUCCGGCGUCUCCAUCUCCACUGCGGAAUCCGUCUGAUGGAUUCAAUUUCGACGUUCAGCUGACUCAGAAAGCUCCUCAUCUCGGAAGACGCCGCCGUCGCCUCCAACGGUGGUGGAGCUCGACGCUUUCCUCGAGAUCCUUCCUCCGGCGACGAGGAAGAAAGCCACUCGCUCGAUUCCCUUCCGGCGAUUGGGUGAUAUCGGAGCACCCGGUUACACCUCAAGAUCUGAAGCUUGCCGUAUCAAACUCACUUACAAAGCUCAUACACUGCUUGAAUGAUAGUGUUUUCAAUUAUAGGUUGGUGAUAACCGGUCGGGAAUUAACACAUCUUUGCAUCGUAUAAGUAACCGGAAACUGCAAAUAAUUGAUUUAACAUGUUGAGUGGGUCGAGCUGUGUCUGGAAGUGCAGUGCAUCUUGGUCAUAGGUUCUCCUGGAGUUGGCAAAACUACUUUGGAAACACGUGUGGUGAUUGUCGACACGUCAAAUGAGAUUGGUGGUGAUGGUGAUGUUCCUCACUCUGGAAUAGGCUGUGCUAAGAGGGUGCAAGUUCCUAAUGUGAAUUUACAACAUGAUGUUAUGAUUGAGGCGGUUGAGAAUCACAUGCCUGAGACCAUUUGAUAGAAACAAUGUCACUAUCUUAUCAACAACAGAGGAAUUAGUACAGAGAAAGCUAUCUUGCUCUCCAAGCCACAAGGCUCCUCCUACUAACCAACUAACUCUCAAUUACAAUCCUCUCUUCUAUUUAUACUCUCCACUUGAAUGUAACAGGCCUUCUCUUCCUCUUAUUGUGCAGGUGACAGGUCAUCAGCUUCUCACGUGACAUAUACUUUGCUUCUGUGAUCAUAUCACCAUCAUCAUAUAUGAGAUAGGCACAGAGCUUGAGGCAUUAGCUGCUAGCACUAUUGCUCAGAGAGGAGUCCAGCUUGUUGCAGCAAGAAUGGACCCAAGAAGCCUCUUUCUUUUUGGUUUGGUAGUAGAGAGUAGAAGUAAGUAUGAGAAACAGAUACUGAAACACU